CGGGUGUAGCUCAAUGGUAGAGUUCUGGCCUUCCAAGCCAGCUGUGAGGGUUCGAUCCCCUUCACCCGCU
rnacentral:tRNA from 1 species